AUACGGAGGGUGCAAGCGUUGUCCGGAUUUAUAGGGUUUAAAGGGUGCGUAGGUGGCGUGUUGAGUCAGUGGUGAAAGCCUGCAGCUCAACUGUAGAGGUGCCAUUGAUACUGACAUGCUUGAGUAUGGACGAGGUAGGCGGAAUUUGUGGUGUAGCGGUGAAAUGCAUAGAUACCACAAAGAACACCGAUGGCGAAGGCAGCUUACUGGACCAUAACUGACACUGAGGCACGAAAGUGUGGGUAGCGAACAGGAUUAGAAACCCCAGUAGUCC
rnacentral:rRNA from 1 species